GUCUGCUUCAGUAGCACAUAUACUAAAAUUGGAACAAUACAGAAAGAUUCGCAUGGCCACUAAGCAAAGGUGACACGCAAAUUCCUUUUGAAGAGCUCUAGAUUUUA
ensembl:snRNA U6 U6 spliceosomal RNA